UGGCUCAGUUGGUAGAGCAUGGUGUUUGCAACGCCCAGGGUUGUGGGUUUGAUUCCCAC
rnacentral:tRNA from 1 species